UGGGGAUGACGUCAAAUCAUCAUGCCCUUUAUGCCCUGGGCUACACACGCGCUACAAUGGCCGGUCCAAAGGGCAGCGCACCCGCGAGGGGAAGCGAAUCCCAAAAAGCCGGUCUCAGUUCGGAUUGCAGGCUGCAACUCGCCUGCAUGAAGGCGGAAUCGCUAGUAAUCGCGGAUCAGCAUGCCGCGGUGAAUACCGGUUCCCGGGCCUU
rnacentral:rRNA from 1 species